CAUGCAAGUCGAACGGCAGCACAGGAGAGCUUGCUCUCUGGGUGGCGAGUGGCGGACGGGUGAGGAAUGCAUCGGAAUCUACUCUUUCGUGGGGGAUAACGUAGGGAAACUUACGCUAAUACCGCAUACGACCUACGGGUGAAAGCCGGGGACCUUCGGGCCUGGCGCGAAUGAAUGAGCCGAUGCCCGAUUAGCUAGUUGGCGGGGUAAGAGCCCACCAAGGCGACGAUCGGUAGCUGGUCUGAGAGGAUGAUCAGCCACACUGGAACUGAGACACGGUCCAGACUCCUACGGGAGGCAGCAGUGGGGAAUAUUGGACAAUGGGCGCAAGCCUGAUCCAGCCAUACCGCGUGGGUGAAGAAGGCCUUCGGGUUGUAAAGCCCUUUUGUUGGGAAAGAAAAGCAGUCGGUUAAUACCCGAUUGUUCUGACGGUACCCAAAGAAUAAGCACCGGCUAACUUCGUGCCAGCAGCCGCGGUAAUACGAAGGGUGCAAGCGUUACUCGGAAUUACUGGGCGUAAAGCGUGCGUAGGUGGUUGUUUAAGUCUGUCGUGAAAGCCCUGGGCUCAACCUGGGAAUUGCGAUGGAAACUGGGCAACUAGAGUGUGGCAGAGGAUAGUGGAAUUCCUGGUGUAGCAGUGAAAUGCGUAGAGAUCAGGAGGAACAUCCGUGGCGAAGGCGACUGUCUGGGCCAACACUGACACUGA
rnacentral:rRNA from 1 species